UGUCGCAGUUUCACACAUAGGCCUACUCAUUUUGCGAUAACCAUGGUUUCCAUUUUUGAAGGAUGGCAGCUCAUCUGGUUAUGAUACCUUGUUGGAAUGCCUUAGAAACAAAUUUAAAAAAGAAAGGAUUCCCUUGGUUAGCUCAUCGAUCGUCCUGCAAAUGAAGGAGAAGUAUGGGAUUAAAAGGAAGUGUGCUGGACAAACAGAUUCUGAGGAACUUAGUCAACAACAAGAGAUUGUGUUGGACCUGGAAGUAAUGGGUGAGGAUGAGACAAGUUUCCGGGAACACAUUAAUGCCAUCACCCUGGAGUUGCGUAAAAGCAAUCCCAGUUACUCUGAAGUCAAGAACCGGAUGAAGCGCACUCUUUUCAAAAGAGUACAGCUUAUGGACAGGCCUGCAGCUGAAGUAAUGGAGCAGUUUCCUUUUCUUGGAGUGCCACAGCUUAUGCUGCAUGAAAUGACAAUGAGGUUUGGAGCAGACUUGGCGAAGAACAUGGAAACAUCUCUGAAUGAAAUGGCCCCAAACAUCAUCAGGAGUGCAAAAGAAGGAAGUCAAAAAAAACUCUACGCCAAUCUCAUUGGACUAGCAGAGGAAACCACAGAAGGUCUCGUUAAGAAUGCUGCACUCAUUUUAUUGUCAGCACUAUUUAAAGAAAACGCCAGCUUCCUCUACUGUGUAGAUAGUGAACCCAAAGGUGCUACACCAACCAUAGUGUUUAACGGCUCUCCUGAUCCCCUCAAGGCUGAAAGCGUCAGCAUUAUAAUGGACAAUGUGAGCAUCAUAAGAGAGGCAGACACUGACAUGACACAGGCUGUGGAAUGCCUAUUUGCAGUUUAUUUUCUCUUCAAUGUGCAAUACCCGGUUGACAUUAAGCACACAAUGACUUUUAUUCAAAAAUAUAUGCUUAAACUUAGACAAGAGCAUGGCAAAAGAACACCAAUACCUGUACUGAAAAUGUACAGUCAACUUGUGUAAAUUGUAG
ensembl:lncRNA